rnacentral:rRNA from 1 species
UACGUAGGGGGCUAGCGUUGUCCGGAAUCAUUGGGCGUAAAGCGCGCGUAGGCGGCCAGAUAAGUCCGGUGUGAAAGUCACAGGCUCAACCUGUGAAUGCCGCUGGAAAACUGUCUGGCUAGAGUCCGGAAGGGGCGAGUGGAAUUCCUGGUGUAGCGGUGAAAUGCGCAGAUAUCAGGAGGAACACCGGUGGCGAAGGCGGGUCUCUGGGCCGAUAUUGACGCUGAGGAGCGAAAGCGUGGGGAGCGAACAGG